CCUCCUCCUAUUUUCCCCACAACAACAACCCUGUGAGGUGAGUUGGGCUGAGAGAGAGUGACUGGCCCAAGGUCACCCAGCUGGCUUUCAGGCCUAAGGCGGGACUAGAACUCCCGGUCUCCUGCCAUAAUGCAGUGUCAAAGCUUAACUUUCUUAUAUUACCUUGCCAUUGGUUAGUGGCUGUGUGUGGCAUGCCAUAAGCCUAGGGAAUUUGUUUUGAAUGUUUUAUCUCUUCAGAAGUGAUUAUUAGUGUUGGUGAAAUCUUAAGUAGCCUAUCUCUUCCUGCCAGACUGGGCUUCUGUAUAGAAAGUUGUCAGAUCAGAUACCUGAUCUCUGUAGCUGAUGUUUGUUUGGGUCUACUUAGAUCCAUUUUCAUGAACAUUAAUUUUUAGAAUCCAUAAUUCACUGAAAGUUGUUGAUCUAGGCCUGAGAGCGAACUUGCGCUUAGCAACUAACAUGUUAGACAACUAAGCCUUUUUGAAAGGAAAUGUUGGUCCUAACAUACCAAAAUUCUUCAUCUGAAAAGUAUUUAAAAAUAAAGCACCUUUAGAUAUGGACCUAAGUUCCCUGGAAGUUUCCUUUGCUAACUUUGGGUGGGUGGGUGGGGACGUGUAUUGGAUGGAAAAAAGAGUGUGAUGUCAAAUUUCAUUUGUAAAAUAAUAUUUGUUGAAAAUACUUUGUAAAUAAUGUAAUUGAACUAUUUGCAAUUAGGGGAAAAACAGUUGAUUUUAUUAAAUAAUAAAAACUAUUGGGCCUGGAACAGAAUGGCGCAAAAUUAGGCUUGCCAAGUUACAAGCUUUAAUUCCUCCUUUAGUUUUGAGUGUAUUGCUCAGCUAGAAGAAAAGUCAGCUAACAGCUUCUCCAAGUUCUUUUUUCCUCAGGGCCUAUAACGUGUCUCCUUUUUGUGUUGUGGAAUACACACUUCACUGAUCACAUUAAGUUGUAGAUUGUUCAAUAAGCUACAGUUGGCUGGGUUUACACAGCACUAAGCUAUAAACAAUUACUUAGCAAACCAUAGUGGUUUAGUUCACACAUCUCAGUAAACCAAACCCAACCACCUUAUGGUCUACCGCAAUAUGUGAACUUUCCCAUAGGAUCUUGGUCAUUGGGCUAAGAAUGAGGAAAGUAGAAUAAGAAAGUUUGGAACAGUGGGGAAAUGGGACAGGAGAAGCAGCUGGCUUGUACCUGUUUGGCGAGAACAUUAGAAGAUCAUUGGAUUACAACCUGGCAACUUACAUUUUUAAGUGGGUAGUGCUUUACUGUUAUAUGUGCUACUCGGAGGGCAUUCUAAUAAAUGAAACCCAGGCUGCUUUCUGUUUGUUGUAUCUAAAUAUUUUGCAGUUGCUGCUAAUGUAAUGUAAAUGUACAUGAAAAUAUACAAAUGUUGCCAAGAAAUGUUAUAUAGACUCAUGCUGAUCUGUUUUAUAUUUAUAUUGUAAAGUGUAUUCUGCAAACCUCCUAAAUAUUUUAGCUUUAUAUUCAUAUACUUUUUUGUAGACACAGCUUGUCAUACAGAGAAAAAGUGCCUUUGGUCUUUUUAAACAGUCUAGCAUAUUGACUUGGGCAGAUGAUAACAAAACCUUAAAAAGGAAGCCACCUUUACUCAUUUGCUCCAUUUGUUAGUUUUUCAUCAAGCAUGGUGUUGCAAAAAUGUAUUGUGUUCAACUCAUUCCAAGCUAAGGCAUUCACAGGAUGGUGGGACUAAGCUUGAUUGUACAUGUUAAUGCAACAUCACUCAUUACAUGAUUUUACAGAGAGAGGUGCUUGGGUUUUUUUUUGUUUUUUUAAAAUAUUUCAGAGAAAUCUGGGAGAAAUUUUACUCAGAAAUUACAAAAUUGGGAGCUUUAAGACACCCAAUGUGCUCCUUUUCAUUUCACUGUUUAUAUUUCAUGGAUGCUAAAUAUGCUAUUGGUAUAAAUUUUUGUAAAAUUAUGUAACAAACUCUCCGUUAUUAAAUUAGAUUAUUGUACUGUC